ensembl:lncRNA
CAUAGCUUAGACUUGCUGGCGUUCCUUUCCCUCUGGCUAGCACUCUUUCAUACUUACGCCACCCGUCUCCCCUGCUGUUAACGUGUAUGUUUCAGUUAGCAGGUCUGAGUAGGAUGCAUUGCAGCCCAGUUUAUCCUGGAUCCCCGGAGAGGGCCCAUAUGUCGCUGUACUACAUAAAGCCAACAGUGGUAGCUGUAAACAAGCAGAUGUGUCAGCAUUGGCUGCUUUUUGGCUCGAGCAGGACUUAAGC